AUUGAACGCUGGCGGCAGGCCUAACACAUGCAAGUCGAACGGAAGAACGGAACUUGCUUCUUGUUACGGCGGCGGACGGGCGGGUGGUGCCGAAGAACAUGGCAAGUAGUUUUUGCUAGGGGCCGAACACGGGCACUCUUACCGCAUACCUCCUGAGGACGAACGGGGGAAAUCAUCGGACCUCAGGCCAUCAGAUGAUUCAAGGUCCGGAUGUCGGAUUAGCUAGUUGGCGGGGUAAAGGCCCACCAAGGCGACGAUCCGUAGCUGGUCUGAGAGGAUGAUCAGCCACACUGGAACUGAGACACGGUCCAGACUCCUACGGGAGGCAGCAGUGGGGAAUAUUGGACAAUGGGCGAAAGCCUGAUCCAGCCAUGCCGCGUGGGUGAAGAAGGCCUUCGGGUUGUAAAGCACUUUUGUUGGGAAAGAAGAGCAGCAGGUUAAUACCCCGCUGUUCUGACGGUACCAACAGAAUAAGCACCGGCUAACUUCGUG
rnacentral:rRNA from 1 species